AUCGAUCAUGGUGGCAAUGUUCCCUAUUGGGAAGGUCAGAGCUAUGGUGUUAUUCCUCCAGGUGAAAACCCGAAGAAACCUGGGAAUCCACACAAUGUUCGUCUCUACUCAAUUGCAUCAACUAGGUAUGGAGAUUCUUUUGAUGGCAAGACUGCUAGUUUAUGUGUUCGCCGUGCCAUUUAUUAUGACCCUGAAACUGGAAAGGAGGAUCCUUCAAAGAAAGGAAUAUGCAGCAAUUUUUUAUGCAACUCAAAGCCUGGAGAUAAAGUUCAG
rnacentral:misc_RNA from 1 species